UACAGAGGGUGCGAGCGUUGUUCGGAAUUAUUGGGCGUAAAGCGCAUGUAGGCGGCGGUUUAAGUCGCGUGUGAAAGCCCCAGGCUCAACCUGGGAAGUGCGCGCGAAACUGGACUGCUUGAGUGCUGGAGAGGGUGGCGGAAUUCCCGGUGUAGAGGUGAAAUUCGUAGAUAUCGGGAGGAACACCAGAGGCGAAGGCGGCUCACUGGCCCGGUACUGACGCUGAGGCGCGAAAGCGUGGGGAGCAAACAGG
rnacentral:rRNA from 1 species